UGUAACAUUGUAUGGUUGGGUAAAUAU
rnacentral:sRNA from 1 species